AGAUUCAAAAUAUUAAAUUUGAAGUAAUAUUGUUUUAUAAAUUUUUAUAUAUUUUUUUAAUUUUAAAAAAACUCAAAAAGAAAAUAAUUUAAUAAUUUAUUUAGGGUAUUAGUACCUCAUAAAAAGUGCCAACAAAAAAUUUAUACACUUAAGUUGUCGUGAUAAUUGUUCUGGUAGAGCUAAGCUCUCAUUAAAGGACAUAAUAUUCACGAUAGAACACACAGCUAAGUGUAAAUGUAAUAAAAUAAAUAUUUAAGAUAUUUAAGCAUCUUUAUUUUAAAUAAGAUAACACCCAUCUUAGUCUUCCAUCAACACAAUCACAAGAUUCUGUGAUUUUGCCUGAUAUCUCAAUUUCAUCCAAUGGUAUUCCACAUUUGGAACCACAAGUUUCUCCCAUAGUGCCUGAUAUCUCAAUUUCAUCCAAUGGUAUUCCACAUUUGGAACCACAAGUUUCACCCAUAGUGCCUGA